GAUGGCCGUCCCCUCCACUGUGGUUCCAGGGCCAUCCUAACAUUCCAACCUCUUAUUGGUGAUACUGGGCAACGGAUCUGAUCUGGCUGCUUCCUGCGGGUGUAAGGGCGAUGUUAUGGUAUGUGGGGUGUGAGGUUGGAAUGCGGAAAUAUGGCCGGACCACCAUCUGGUGAAAUGCACCUGGGAAACUUCAUGAAUUCGUUUCUGUACGAAACGGAGAAAACAAGGUAAUAGCCCAGGGAGAGGGGCUUCUGGAUUCUUCCAGAGAACAGGUGGACAUCCUCUCCCUGGAGCGCCAAUAGCCGGCAGCCCAGUCGACCUUUCUGUACCCGAGAAGGGAUCUGUCAGAGCUGGCCUGGGGACGCAGAGCCGUAGCUGUGUCCCUGCUCGGAAGCGUCAGGCAGUUAUGACAUCCCUGCCAGUCCAGACUCACACUGCGUUGCUGGCAUUGCACCCAGGAGGCCCUGAGACGGGCAGGGUCCACAGCUACUGUGCGGCCACGGCUGUGCCAGCAGGAGCAGGGAGGGUGCCAGGGGACGCGCCAGAGCCAGUCACGGCGUCCUGCCACAGAUUCAGGCCCAGCGCUGUUACAGUGGGGGUAACGAGGAACGUAGAGAAGACUCCAUAGUAGGCGGUUAAGUAAAGGGUGAAAAUAAAGGAGCCUUCCCUCCUUUAAACAAGCCCCUUUCAAGUCUCAACACAAGAGUUGAGCAGAGGAGUGUGUGAAGAAAGUGUGGUGUGCCCAUCCAUACAAGCGGGGUACCGUCGGCUUCUAAAGACCAGAGAUUCUGCAGCGUGCGACCACACAGAGGGAUUCUGUGCGAUAAGCCAGAUACAGAAGGACGGAUACCGCAUGGUUCUUCUUACGGUCAAAUUCGUAAAAUCAAAGACUGGAGUGGCGGUCAGCAGGGGCUGGGGAGGGGAAGUGGGGAGUUGCUAAUCAAGAGGCAAAAAGUUUCAAUUAAGUAAGAUGAAAAAGCUGUAGAGAUCUGCUAUGUGCUAUUGUGCCUAUAGUCAGUGAUAAUGUAUUAUGCUCUGAAAAUUUGUUAAGAGGGUAGAUCUGAUAUUACGUGUUCUCACUACAGUUAGAUUUUCUUUUUAAAAGGAGCUGGGGUGGGGGAGCACAUAUCUCAUGACCCGUGUUAUGGGCUGAAUUGUCACCCCCCCCCCCCGCCGCCCCCUAUAAAAUUCAUGUUGAAAUCCUAACCCCUCAUAGCUCAAAAUGUGGGUGUGUUUGGAGACAGCGUCUGAAGGAGCCUGGGACACACUCCUCAAAAUGUGCGGCUGUGGCACGUGAUUAUUUGAACAGAAGGCACUUAAAAGACAGCAGGUGCGGGGAGAGGCUUCCUCUGAGCUCCCCUCAGGUGCCUGAACACACAUCCUUCAGAAGGACCUCGGGGUCCUCGGUCCCCUCCCUGGGAGCUCCUGUCACAGAAGAGGAACUGAGAAGUGGGUCCCACACCCAGAAGACUGUCACCCUCCUGUCUGUCCCUCUGAGGACCCAGCCAUCCCCCCUAACCCGUUCACUCCCCCUGAAAUGCCUGCACCCCUUUCCUCCUGUACCUGGAUGGCGUGUGAGCUCUCAGACCCCACUGCCCUUUGGGGUAUUUACCUUAUGUCCUGGGAUGCCCCCGUGCACAUAAUAGUAAAACUUAAUAAAUGUGUAUACCUUUCUGCUGUUAA